AUUGAACGCUGGCGGCAGGCCUAACACAUGCAAGUCGAACGAGUGGCGGACGGGUGAGUAAUGCCUGGGAAUCUGCCUUAUGGAGGGGGAUAACGACGGGAAACUGUCGCUAAUACCGCGUACCAUCGGAUGAGCCCAGGUGGGAUUAGGUAGUUGGUGGGGUAAUGGCGUACCAAGCUGACGAUCCCUAGCUGGUCUGAGAGGAUGACCAGCCACACCGGGACUGAGAGACGGCCAGGACUCCUACGGGAGGCAGCAGUGGGGAAUAUUGCGCAAUGGGGGCAACCCUGACGAAGCCAUGCCGGGUGAAUGAAGAAGGCCUUCGGGUUGUAAAGUUCUGUCGGUAGUGAGGCGUUAAAUACAGAGGAAGCCACGGCUAACUCCGUGCCAGCAGCCGCGGUAAUUC
rnacentral:rRNA from 1 species